GUUAAUCAUCAAAUCUUUGAACGCAAAUUGCACUCUCUGGUAUUCCGGAGAGUAUGCCUGUUUGAGGGUCUGUUUAAAUAAAAAUCGGCUUGUUUGCUUCCUUUCUUGGUUACGCACCGGAUUUGGUUCUUCUUGCCUUCGGUUAAGUGACCUAAAAUUUUUCAUGAUUUUUUCGAACGAAUUUAAAUGAUUUUACGUACGUUUGCGAUAUCUAAUACUAUGUGUGGUCAUCCUCAUGAUUCGCAUCUAUAAUUUUUCAUCAAAAUGACCUCAAAUCAGCUAAGAGUACCCGCUGAACUUA
rnacentral:misc_RNA from 1 species